rnacentral:rRNA from 1 species
UCCGUAGGUGAACCUGCGGAAGGAUCAUUAACGAGUUGGAAUGUGGAGGUUGAUGCUGGUGCAUAUUAUAUAUCUGUACAUGUGCUCGCCUUCACACUCUUCAUCCACUCUCAACCCCUGUGCACUUUAUCAGAGUUAGUAAUAGUUGUAGUAGUGAUAGCCGGCUGUUAUUCAUUGUUAGAGGAAGAGGGGUAACCCUUUACUAUGACAGUAGUAAUAAUAAUAUUCUUGGUCCUGCUACUACUAUGAACACUUUGACUUUACUUAUACAAACACUUUGCUUGUUUUUGUGAAUGUGUAAAUGCUCCUUGUGAGCGGAAAUGCAAAUAUACAACUUUCAACAACGGAUCUCUUGGCUCUCGCAUCGAUGAAGAACGCAGCGAAAUGCGAUAAGUAAUGUGAAUUGCAGAAUUCAGUGAAUCAUCGAAUCUUUGAACGCACCUUGCGCCCCUUGGUAUUCCGAGRGGCAUGCCUGUUUGAGUGUCAUGUAAUUCUCAAUCCUCUUGUUCUUAAUUGAAGAAGGGGCUUGGACUUGGAGGUAAUAUGUAUGCUGGUACUGCUUGGUAUCGGCUCCUCUCAAAUGCAUUAGCUGGACUGUAGUUUUGCAUUGCUUGGUGUAAUAGUUUUCUAUCUAUAUUCACUACAGUGCUUACUUAGACUGUCCGCUUCAAAUAGUGUCCGACUGUGUGUCGGACAAGGUUACUUAGUAACUCUGUURACCCUUUUGACCUCAAAUCAGGUAGGACUACCCGCUGAACUUAAGCAUAUCAAUAAGCGGAGGAA